rnacentral:tRNA from 1 species
GGACCAUAGCUCAGUGGAUAGAGCACAGGACCGCAGCCCAUCGAGGUGUGCGGAGUCCUGGGGUGGUGGGUUCGAGUCCCACUGGUCUCA